GCUAUCCUCCCCUUCAUUUGAACAGAGGAAGUUCUUCACCUUUUAGAACCCAAUAUUCACUCCCAGCUUUCCUACUUGAAAAUUCGUUUGUUAUCCUUCCCAUAUUUUCUCUAAACAAACUUUCUCAGAAUGUUGUUAAAAUUCUGAAAGGGAUGACAAAAACUGUUGGUACAGGAAGGCGGCAGAGCAAGGAUAUGUCCAGUGGGAGAAAAGUUAAACCAUUGCAUGCCAAUAAACAAAGACCGCAACCAAUUGCUCUUCCUUCCCAUUGAAAGAAACCCAGGCUGUACCUGCUCUUUCAUCUCCUGUGUGGAAAACAUCUAUCGGCUGGAAGCCCUGAGUCUUCAUUUUCAAGGAUUUUAGUUGUAAGCUGUUUAAGGCAUAAGCUAAAGUUUCAGGCAGAGGUAAUUUUAGUAGUUAAGCCUGAUUUUUACUUCCACCCUCUGUCCUCCAGGGCUAUAUGGGAAGCUUUCUGUGAGUGGAUAAGCUCUUUAGCUAAGAUGUAAACAUGUUCCCUGCUAUCUGAUAAAGGUUCCUGGAGACUGACACUUUAAAAAAAAAAAAAAAAAGAAAGUGAGGAAAAAAAGAAAAGGAGAAACUGAAUCCAAGGCUUACAAAGGGAUUAGAAAACUGUACCCCAGAUGGAAAAUUUUAUGGGCUCUGGAGAAAAUGUGUAAGUGAAAUAUCGGUAUCAUAAAAUAACAGGAAAUAGUGUAAUCUACCUGAUGGAGAAAAUUGUCACUUUAAAAAAACUAUCCUAAUUUCCUUCAAAAUUGUUCUUGUUUUUGAGCCAAUAAACUUCAGCUAAGCUCA
ensembl:lncRNA LINC02869 long intergenic non-protein coding RNA 2869